GAUUUGACAUAACAUUGUAAACACCGAGUACAAUGAACCUUUUGUUAAAACUAGAAUUAUGAAAGAAAUAAUUGUUAAUAUACAGUGUUAUGAAUUAAAUGUGUCUUAAAAUGUGCCAUAUUUGUUUUUUAAAGUGAAAUUUGUGAUGAAUUUAUAUUUAUUUUAUACGUUUCGCUGUUUGUGUAACAUGGGCGUGUGAAGUUAUAUUUUUUGUAUUUAUAGUGAAAAAGUGAUAAAAAGUUUUACGAUUUUAAUCAAAGAAUGACUGUUUAUGUAAAUUAAAUAAGUUAACGUGAUAUUUUAACUAACUUUAAUACAUUUUCGACGUUAAAUGUAAUGUCUAAAUCAAGAUAACAGAAAAUGGAAGAAGCAAGUGAAGCUAGCUACUGUGAAAAGGACAGUUGGGACGAUUGGGUGAGCCAUUCGUCACUGAGCCAGCCUGAGGAGGU